rnacentral:rRNA from 1 species
CCUACGGGGGGCAGCAGUGAGGAAUAUUGGUCAAUGGACGAGAGUCUGAACCAGCCAAGUCGCGUGAAGGAUGACUGCCCUAUGGGUUGUAAACUUCUUUUAUAUGGGAAUAAAAUGUUCCACGUGUGGGAUUUUGUAUGUACCAUAUGAAUAAGGAUCGGCUAACUCCGUGCCAGCAGCCGCGGUAAUACGGAGGAUCCGAGCGUUAUCCGGAUUUAUUGGGUUUAAAGGGAGCGUAGGUGGAUUGUUAAGUCAGUUGUGAAAGUUUGCGGCUCAACCGUAAAAUUGCAGUUGAAACUGGCAGUCUUGAGUACAGGAGAGGUGGGCGGAAUUCGUGGUGUAGCGGUGAAAUGCUUAGAUAUCACGAAGAUCUCCGAUUGCGAAGGCAGUUCACUGGACUGCAACUGACACUGAGGCUCGAAAGUGUGGGUAUCAAACAGGAUUAGAUACCCGAGUAGUC